CGGAGAAGGCUAUGUUAGCCGGGCGACGGUUGUCCCGGUUUAAGCAUGUAGGCUGAUUGUCCAGGCAAAUCCGGAUAAUCAAGGCUGAGGUGUGAUGACGAGGCACUACGGUGCUGAAGUAACAAAUGCCCUGCUUCCAGGAAAAGCCUCUAAGCAUCAGGUAACAUCAAAUCGUACCCCAAACCGACACAGGUGGUCAGGUAGAGAAUACCAAGGCGCUUGAGAGAACUCGGGUGAAGGAACUAGGCAAAAUGGUGCCGUAACUUCGGGAGAAGG
rnacentral:rRNA from 1 species